rnacentral:rRNA from 1 species
CACGUAGGGCGCAAGCGUUGUCCGGAAUUAUUGGGCGUAAAGGGCUCGUAGGCGGUCUGUUGCGUCGGGAGUGAAACUUACAGCUUAACUGUGAGCGUGCUUUCGAUACGGGCAGACUUGAAGCAUUCAGGGGAGAACGGAAUUCCUGGUGUAGCGGUGAAAUGCGCAGAUAUCAGGAGGAACACCGGUGGCGAAGGCGGUUCUCUGGGAAUGUCCUGACGCUGAGGAGCGAAAGUGUGGGGAGCGAACAGG